ensembl:lncRNA
UCCCCGGCCGCGACAGGCAAAGGACUGCUCCGUCUUGCCUGGACUAUAGCUAUGGAGAAAAAAAGAAGCUCAGCUGCUUAAAUUAUGUGAUUUUUCAAACGGAUCUCACGGUUGUUUUGAGAUUUCACGUAGGAGGCGGGACACAGAAGAGUUCAAAUAAAGUUUAAAGUAGUUUUUCUGCGUGCUUUCCUGACAUGUAGUAACAUUUGAUAUCUUUUUCAAAAAAUCUCUGAAAAAUUUGUUAGCCUCGCUUUUUGAACUUCUCAGGAGUUUGCGAUGCAGUGAACGAUGGAAAGUUGUACCGCUAAAUGCAUCGACUUCGGUAGCUAAAUAGACAGCUGGCUGCCUGUAGCACCGUUUCGAAGACUAGUUACUUUUUAUUCAGGUUUGUUCAUGUUCCAACUUUACUCUUAUUAGCGGUUAGCUACGCUAGCUGAGAUGUUUUGAGCUCCGCUGUUGGGUAGUAGUAGUAGCAAUACAUGGAGUAGCUAGCUAAGUUAGCUAACUGGCUACGAUAUAUGUUACUGCGGGGGGCCCUUCCUUGGAAAUAAAUUUGUCCACGUAGCCAGCUAGCGGAUAUCCACGGUUAGCACUGGGCCAGCGGCCCAGGCUGCUCAGCCAGCUGACUAGUAUUUAACUCGGGCUCCGACGUGGGGUCUUGCUUUCACUGCCAAAUAAUGCGAUAGAAGGCAGGGUCGGGCAGAGAGUCCCGCUGUAUUAGCCAGGAGUCCCUUUUGGACCCUUGGGACUAGGUGAGGCCUGCGGGUCGGGCUUUCACCGGGUUGUAGUACUUCAGUUUGCCCGGGAGUGAGAGUGGGAGGGUCGCAAGCGACAGCAGAAGUGAACCCGGAGACCUGGGUGUACGGAAUGGAGCGGAUGGAGAUCGACCAGUGCGCAGGCGCGACGGUGGCCGGCGGAGGCGGGUCUCUUCGGAGAUCCAAUAGCGCCCCAAUGAUCACUGGCGUCAGCGAUGGAAUGGCCGUGUUCAGCUCAGCGAGUUCUGCUCGCUGUCGUCGGAGUAGCAUGUCUGUGAACCCCAGCUGUCCCGGACUGGCCCUUCCUCUGUGCCCUUUUCCAGGGGUCAGCGACAGACUGUCCUCCCACAGACAGGAUGAAAGCAUGGAGCUCACCUUGCGGGGGAACCUUAGACAGAGUGCCUUUUCUCUGGUGCCCCUCCCUCCGGUUACACACUGGCAUGAUUCUUUGGACAGUGGUGUUACCCCAAAUUCAUCCCCAAGUCCAACAAGAAGGUUUAGGAAGACACCACUGACUUCUGCUGUUAGAUGGCCUGCUUUAACACCACUCAAGAGGAAAGGAGGAGUUGAACUUGAUGCCCCACCUAAAAAGUUGUUUGUUGCUGGGGUAACCGACCCACCCCACCUUGCUGGUUAUACAGUAAGCGUGACCCAGCAAACUGGCUCAACCCAGGGGGACAUGGCCACGUCCACCAUCCCACAGAGCAACCCCCUGUCACUCUCGCUGCCGCCAUGUGCCCCAAAACAUCCCAGCCUGUAGACCCAGGUCAUCCAGUCACAUGCAUGUGUACUGCCUUGAGAGCAAAUACAUGGUUAAAGACAAGUUUCUGCUUCAAGACAAUCAGAUGAUGCUGUAUUGCCCAGUGAUGGAAAAGCAGUGCUGCUACACUUUCAGAGUAUCAGCAUUCAGAUUCCCAAAACCUGCAGUCACACCAUACCAUUCUUGAGCAAUGUUCUUUCAUGGUGUUACUUUAUCUGAAUGAAUUUGUCAGAUUUAACCCACAAUUAAGAAUUAUGGUAUUUUCUUUUUCUCUUUGGCCUAAAGUAAUUUAUAGGUACUUAGAAACACCAUAAAAUUCCCCUAAUUACAAAGUACAGAUAUGAGUGGCAUGUACAUAUGCCAUCUAUCUGAAGUUGAAGAGACUGUUGACUGUUCUGUUAACUUAUGUGCAGUGGGGAGACAGCAAUUUUAAUAAUCCUUUGAGUGGAUUGUGUUUGUAUAUAUUAUGAUGUGCAUAUAUUCAUACUGUACAUAAACUGGACAGGGGGCUGGUAGUUUGAGUCCCUUGCUCAUGACCAGUAUUGGCCAGUCUCCCUAUCUUAAGAAAACAUUUAAAGCCCUAGUAUGUACUUCAGACUUAGCAAACAAUGUGUAAAAAUUAAGCGCUGUAGUUUAAUAGUUUAUCUUAUAUUACAAUGAAGCUUCAUCCACAUAACCUGAUAUAUGAUUUAAUUUUUUUGUUUGAAUUUAUUUUUAAUGAAACUACAAAUAAAUCUGAAAACUAUCAUUUUACA